rnacentral:pre_miRNA from 1 species
AACGGAGUAGCUGGGUCAUAUGGUACAUUAACUUUUAAAGAAACUGCAAGUUUAGCAAAGUAGUUGUACCAUUUUACAUUCCCACUAGCAGC